UACGUAGGGUGCAAGCGUUGUCCGGAAUUAUUGGGCGUAAAGAGCUCGUAGGCGGUUUGUCGCGUCUGCUGUGAAAUCCCGAGGCUCAACCUCGGGUCUGCAGUGGGUACGGGGCAGACUAGAGUGUGGUAGGGGGAGAUUGGAAUUCCUGGUGUAGCGGUGGAAUGCGCAGAUAUCAGGAGGAACACCGAUGGCGAAGGCAGAUCUCUGGGCCAUUACUGACGCUGAGGAGCGAAAAGCAUGGGGGAGCGAACAGG
rnacentral:rRNA from 1 species